rnacentral:ncRNA from 1 species
UAAAUUGAGAGUUUGAUCCUGGCUCAGGACGAACGCUGGCGGCGUGCCUAACACAUGCAAGUCGAGCGAUGAAGCUUCGGGGUGAAUUAGCGGCGGACGGGUGAGUAACACGUGGGUAACCUGCCUUAUAGAGGGGGAUAGCCUUCCGAAAGGAAGAUUAAUACCGCAUGAAAUGUUUUUAUCGCAUGGUAGAAACAUCAAAGGAGUAAUCCGCUAUAAGAUGGACCGCGGCGCAUUAGCUAGUUGGUGAGGUAACGGCCCACCAAGCGACGAUGCGUAGCCGACU